CAGCCACUGGAUUGCAUUUAUCAUCUAUCCUCAAGACGGCAGGGCCUACAUAUUUGAUUCAUUGUGGAAUUCAAACAAAGCAAUGUGCAAGAACUUUGAAAGCUACUUGAGAGACGCUUAUAAGGAGUAUGUGAAAGAUCAAGAGCAAUAUGGCAAAACAUCUGAGAAGUUCAAGGCAAAGCAUGGGAAUAAACUGAAAGUCAGGCAUGAGUUCACAUGCGCCAAAUAGCUGAAAGAAACACUUCUAUGUGGGUACUACGUCUGCGAGUACCUUAGGGCGUGCAAGAAAUACAGCCACUGCUAGCGGCAGCUCAAGAAAGGAAUGGACUGGUGGAGAAGGGAACAGGUAAACCAACCUACACUGCUUCAACCAAACAGUAGCAGACAUCUGCAAAUUUAUCACGGACUAAUGCGUUAAUGAAGGGCGAAUCUUCUUCAACACGAACAGGCUGGGCAGCUUCUCGAGUACAAGAAGAUUAGAAACUGCAGCACCUUGCUACGUAUCCAGAUUUGUUUGGAUUAGCAAAUUGAGGUACCUAGCGGACUUGUUACUAAGUUUCAUCAAGACAAACGAGUUAAUACUUUAACGAUUUUGUCGGUUUCAUAUAUGUACAGAACUAGACAAAAUGAAUGUAUGAAUGUGUUAUGUCUUAUAUAUGUGUCUGUAUGAA